rnacentral:siRNA from 1 species
GAAAAGGUAUCACAUGCCAAGUU